GCGCAACGGGUGAGUAACACGUGAAUGAUCUACCUCCGAGUGGGGAAUAACUGAGAGAAAUCUUACGGCUAAUACCGCAUAAUACCCACGGGUCAAAGCAGCAAUGCGCUUGGAGAGGAGUUCGCGGCCGAUUAGCUAGUUGGCGGGGUAAUGGCCACCAAGGCGAUGAUCGGUAUCCGGCCUGAGAGGGCGCACGGACACACUGGACACUGAAACACGGUCCAGACUCCUACGGGAGGCAGCAGUGGGGAAUUUUGCGCAAUGGGGGAAACCCUGACGCAGCAACGCCGCGUGGAGGAUGAAAUCCCUUGGGAUGUAAACUCCUUUCGAUAGGGAAGAUAAUGACGGUACCUAUAGAAGAAGCCCCGGCUAACUUCGUGCCAGCAGCCGCGGUAAUACGAGGGGGGCAAGCGUUGUUCGGAAUUCUUGGGCGUACAGGGUGCGUAGGCGGUUUGACAAGUCUUAUGUGAAAUCUAUGGGCUCAACCCAUAGUCUGCAUGGGGAAACUGGUCGGGCUUGAGUAUGGGAGAGGUGAGUGGAAUUUCCGGUGUAGCGGGUGAAAAU
rnacentral:rRNA from 1 species